rfam:Rattus norvegicus chromosome 1, whole genome shotgun sequence.
GGGGAUUUAGCUCAGUGGUAGAGCGCUUGCCUAGCAAGUGCAAGGCCCUGGGUUCGAUCCCCAGCUCUG